rnacentral:misc_RNA from 1 species
AACGCACAUUGCGCCCUCUGGUAUUCCGGGGGGCAUGCCUGUUCGAGCGUCAUUACAACCCUCACGCCUCGCGUGGUAUUGGGCUCGCCCUGUAGGGCUUGCCUCAAAGUCAGUGGCGGCACCGUUUGACCCCUAAGCGUAGUAAUGCUCGUCGCUUCUGGUGUCGUGUGGAGGCCUGCCAGCAACCCCCAAUUUUUUUAAGGUUGACCUCGGAUCAGGUAGGGAUACCCGCUGAACUUAA